rnacentral:lncRNA from 1 species
AUCUGGUCCUCACAAGGCCAGGGAAUGCCUGCCUCUGAUCCUCAUCCUGAGGAACAGACUGAAAUAUGCUCUCACGUACCGUGAAGUGCAAUCUAUCCUUAUGCAGCGUCAUAUUAUGGUUGAUGGAAAGGUCCGCACUGACAAGACCUACCCUGCUGGUUUCAUGGGUAUGCUCUAAUCUUCUAGUACUAAAAUGUGUUUGCAUCUUUAUCUGAGUUGACAUUGUGCAUAUAUUCUUGAACAUCAUUUGUUUGCUGAUACAUACUUUCAUAUUGUCUACCAGACAUUAUUUCUAUUCCCAAGACUGGUGAGAACUACAGGCUUCUGUAUGACACCAAGGGCCGCUUCCGCCUUCACUCUGUCAGGGAUGAGGAUGCUAAGGUUAGCCCUAUCCUUAUCCAUUAUCCUGCUGUUCUUCCAUUAUGCUGAUUCCUUCGGUUUCUAGAACUGCUUAUAUAUUGCAUAUGGGCAAGCAUUGAUAUCCUCUUGCAAUACAUACCUUGCUGUUUCUCAUGUCACUUGCCUGGCAUUGUACUACUGUUGUAUUUUUGCUGUUCUAUUUGUUCACCAUGUUUAUCUGUCUCAAUCCUGUUAUCCAUUUUCUGAAGAUGCCAUUUUGUUUUCUGAUCCUGCCUAGAUAGAUUCUAGUUUGUCAUCUGUUUUAUCCUGUAAUGUAUAUAUUCCAUUAGCUAUCUUUCUCCUGACUUAGUUUCCUCCAUGUGCAGUUCAAGCUCUGCAAGGUCAGGUCUGUCCAGUUCGGCCAGAAGGGCAUCCCAUACCUGAACACCUAUGAUGGCCGCACCAUCCGCUACCCAGACCCACUCAUCAAGGCCAACGACACCAUCAAGCUCGACCUGGAGACCAACAAGAUUGUUGACUUCAUCAAGUUUGACGUCGGCAACGUCGUCAUGGUGACUGGUGGGCGCAACACUGGGCGUGUUGGUGUGAUCAAGAACAGGGAGAAGCAUAAGGGAACCUUUGAGACCAUCCACGUUGAGGAUGCCCAGGGUCACCAGUUUGCCACCCGUCUGGGCAACGUGUUCACCAUUGGCAAGGGCACCAAGCCUUGGGUGAGCCUCCCCAAGGGCAAGGGUAUCAAGCUCACCAUCAUUGAGGAGCAGAGGAAGAGGGAUGCCGCAGCUCAGGCUGCUGCCAAGGCCUGAUUCUGAGGCGUUGAGUCGUUUUGCUAUAGCCAGUUAUCUGCAAGGAUAUAGAACUAUGUUCCUGGAACCAUCUUUUUUAAGUUUUGCCUGAUGUUUGUUGAUUUGCGAACCCAUGGAUGCUGCUAGAUGUAAUGUGGAUGUUUACCUUAUUAAGUGCUAUUUCGAG